CUUCGUUUAAUAAUAUUGUAUAUAUGAAUCUAUGUAUAAGAGAUCCUGAUUCUUCUCAUUAUCAAAAUUUCUAUAGAAAAUUAAAACAAUUAAACAUGGAACAGUUGUUUAAAGUUGUGUUUCUCCUUGUACUGUUUUCCAUUGGCAAUGCAGGAGAAGCAAAAAAUUGUUAUGGAUGGAGCAAAAGAUUCAAAACCCUGUGUGUUAAUUUGGACUUGUGUAACAAUUCGUGCAAAAAAGAGGGAUUCAUAGAUGGAAAUUGCACUACGUUUGGGGAACGUCGAUGCUCCUGCAGAAAGACAUGUCCAUAAUAAAUAUUUUAAAGUUAAUUAUUCGAAUCCCAAAUUUAAAUAAGGAGUUUUGUAGUCAUACUGAUGCAUCACUCUACAAUAUCUUAUGUAUUACUCAUAGUUUUAUUGUGCUUUCAAUUACUAUUACAAAAUAUUUGAAGAUUUAGACUC